rnacentral:rRNA from 1 species
GAUGAACGCUGGCGGCGUGCCUAACACAUGCAAGUCGAACGGAAAGGCCCUGCUUUUGUGGGGUUCUCGAUUGCCGAACGCGUGAGUAUCACGAGUGUAUCCUGCCCUUGUCUUUCGGAUAACUUCAGGAAACUGGGGCUAAUAUAGGAUAGGAGCUCCUGCACCAUGGUGGGCGUUGGAAAGUUGCGGCUGUUGGGGAUGGACUGGCGGCUUACGAGCUUGUUGGUGGGGUAGGGGCUUACCCAGCCUUUGACGGGUAGGCGACCUGAGAGCGUGACCGGCGACAAUGGGACUAAGAGAGGGCGCAGUCGCCUACGUGAGGCAGCAGUGGGAAAUAUUGCACAAUGAGCGCAAGCCUGAUGCAGCGGCGCUGCGUGCGUAAAGACGGCCUUCGGGGUAUAAACCGCUUUCGCAUGUGACGAAGCGUGAGUGACGGUAAUGAAUAAAGAAGCACCGGCUAACUACGUG